AUACACCAGUCACACUGAACAAAGGAAAGAUGCUCUGACUAAAUCUGGGGACAGAAGGAAGGCACUGGCUGAGUUCUUGGCAGUUGAGAUGAAGUUGAGUGUGAGGGAGGAGGCUUUAGAGUGGUGGAGUCAGAGGGGAUCUCGGGUACCUGAGGGGCAGCGCAGGCAGAGCUCAGCAAGGUGCAUUGUUCCAAAAUCAGCGGAGGUCAGUGGAUGAGCCCUACAGGACAUUCAGGUGUCCAUCGUAGAAUUUCCAUAUUGUCUGUCCCUCAGGAGGCCUCACAGCCUUUGAGCUUGGCUGCCGAGAUGAGGAGGUGGGAGGGCUAGAAGAGAGCACUGCUCUGCACUGUGCAGGGAGAUGAGGAGGUGGGAGGACUAGAAGAGAGCACUGCUCUGCACUGCGCAGGGAGAUGAGGAGGUGGGAGGACUAGAAGAGAGCACUGCUCUGCACUGCGCAGGGAGAUGAGGAGGUGGGAGGACUAGAAGAGAGCACUGCUCUGCACUGCGCAGGGAGAUGAGGAGGUGGGAGGACUAGAAGAGAGCACUGCUCUGCACUGCGCAGGGAGAUGAGGAGGUGGGAGGACUAGAAGAGAGCACUGCUCUGCACUGUGCAGGGAGAUGAGGAGGUGGGAGGGCUAGAAGAGAGCACUGCUCUGCACUGCGCAGGGAGAUGAGGAGGUGGGAGGGCUAGAAGAGAGCACUGCUCUGCACUGCGCAGGGAGAUGAGGAGGUGGGAGGACUAGAAGAGAGCACUGCUCUGCACUGCGCAGGGAGAUGAGGAGGUGGGAGGACUAGAAGAGAGCACUGCUCUGCACUGCGCAGGGAGAUGAGGAGGUGGGAGGACUAGAAGAGAGCACUGCUCUGCACUGCGCAGGGAGAUGAGGAGGUGGGAGGACUAGAAGAGAGCACUGCUCUGCACUAUGCAGGGAGAUGAAGCGGCUCCCAGACUGGCUGCUGUCCUUGGGAAUGCAGUGUGGGCAUGUAAAGGGAAGCCUCCAGAGCCUUGGGGAACAUAGCUGGAUAGAGCCCACCUC